AACGCGCAGUGUCGAAGUUGGCCCCCGAAGCUCUUCCGUCUCCCCCCCGGGCCUCCCGGGGAGGUUGCGGGCGGCGAGGGGUGCCUCCGGCCGCACGCCCAUUCUUGUCUACUGACCCGGUUGCCUCGGCGGGCCGCGCCUGCUGUGCUACAGCGGCCGUUCGGGGGGGACGCCUGAGGGGGACUCUUGUUUCCUAGGCCACGCCCCGGGCAGCGCUCGCCGGAGGAUUACUCUGGAAAACACACUCUUGAAAGAACAUACCGUCUGAGCGAGCAACGCAAAUCAGUUAAAACUUUCAACAACGGAUCUCUUGGUUCCGGCAUCGAUGAAGAACGCAGCGAAAUGCGAUAAGUAAUGUGAAUUGCAGAAUUCCGUGAAUCAUCGAAUCUUUGAACGCACAUUGCGCCCCCUGGCAUUCCGGGGGGCAUGCCUGUUCGAGCGUCAUUUCAACCCCUCAAGCCCGGCUUGUGUGAUGGACGACCGUCCCCCCUCCCCAACAACCACCCACCGCUUAGGGGGGUGGGAGGGAGGGGGACGCGCCCGAAAAGCAGUGGUCAGGCCGCGAUU
rnacentral:misc_RNA from 1 species